rnacentral:rRNA from 1 species
CGUAGGGGGCAAGCGUUGUCCGGAUUUAUUGGGCGUAAAGAGCGUGUAGGCGGCCAGACAGGUCCGUUGUGAAAACUAGAGGCUUAACCUCUAGACGUCGAUGGAAACCGUCUGGCUAGAGUCCGGAAGAGGAGAAUGGAAUUCCUGGUGUAGCGGUGAAAUGCGCAGAUAUCAGGAAGAACACCCGUGGCUAAGGCGGUUCUCUAGUACGGUACUGACGCUGAGACGCGAAAGCGUGGGGAGCGAACAGGAUUAGGUACCCUGGUAGUCCACGCCGUAAACGAUGGGUGCUAGGUGUGGGGGUGUCGACUCCCUCCGUGCCGAAGCUAACGCAUUAAGCACCCCGCCUGGGGAGUACGGCCGCAAGGCUA